rnacentral:rRNA from 1 species
CUCGUAGUUGGAUUCUGUUGAGGUCGGGCGGUGUACACCUCGUGUAUUAUUUGCUUCGGUCUCGGCAUCCUCUUGGGGAACGUAUCAGGACUUUAUUGGACUGCGCGAGAUUCAAGACUUUUACUUUGAGGAAAUUAGAGUGUUCACGGCAGGUAAGUGCUUUGAAUACAUUAGCAUGGAAUAAUAAUAUAGGACCUUCGUUCUAUUUUGUUGGUUUCUAGAACUUAGGUAAUGAUUAAUAGGGACAAUUGGGGGCAUUCGUAUUAACGCGUCAGAGGUGGAAUUCUUGGAUUGCGUUACGACGAACUACUGCGAAAGCAUUUGCCAAAGAUGUUUUCAUUGAUCAAGAACGAAAGUAUGGGCAUCGAAGACGCUUAGAUACCGUCGUAGUCUAUACCAUAAACUAUGCCAACUAGGGAUUGGACGGGUUAUCCUAUGUGGCUCGUUCAUCACCUUAUGAGAAAUCAAAGUUUUUGGGUUCCGGGGGGAGUAUGGC